rnacentral:rRNA from 1 species
ACGGCUCAGUAACACGUAGUCAAUCCACCCUAUGGACGGGAAUAACCUCGGGAAACUGAGAAUAAUGCCCGACAGAACAUUAUACCUGGAACGGUUUAUGUUUCAAAUGAUUUAUCGCCGUAGGAUGGGACUGCAGCCUAUCAGUUUGUUGGUGAGGUAAUGGCCCACCAAGACUAUUACAGGUACGGGCUCUGAGAGGAGUAGCCCGGAGAUGGGUACUGAGACACGGACCCAGGCCCUAUGGGGCGCAGCAGGCGAGAAAACUUUGCAAUGUGCGAAAGCACGACAAGGUUAAUCCGAGUGGUUUCUGCUAAAGAAACCUUUUGCUAGUCCUAGAAACACUAGUGAAUAAGGGGUGGGCAAGUUCUGGUGUCAGCCGCCGCGGUAAAACCAGCACCUCAAGUGGUCAGGAUGAUUAUUGGGCCUAAAGCAUCCGUAGCUCGUUUUGUAAGUUUUCGGUUAAAUCCAUACGCUUAACGUAUGGGCUGCCGGGAAUACUGCAUAACUAGGAAGUGGGAGAGGUAGACGGUACUCGGUAGGAAGGGGUAAAAUCCUUUGAUCUAUUGAUGACCACCUGUGGCGAAGGCGGUCUACCAGAACACGUUCGACGGUGAGGGAUGAAAGCUGGGGGAGCAAACCGGAUUAGAUGCCCGGGUAGUCCCAGCUGUAAACUAUGCAAACUCAGUGAUGCAUUGGCUUGUGGCCAAUGCAGUGCUGCAGGGAAGCCGUUAAGUUUGCCGCCUGGGAAGUACGUACGCAAGUAUGAAACUUAAAGGAAUUGGCGGGGGAGCACCACAAGGGGUGAAGCCUGCGGUUCAAUUGGAAUCAACGCCGGG